AUAAGGGCGACUGAAACGGGAGUAGCCCAGCGCAAAGCCUCGUGUUUCCUUAACCGGUGCACGAGGGGUGCUGCGUUUGGGAGAGGUCUUGCACGCUGUCCCGCACCGCCUAAGUUGUACAUGAAUGACUCUAAUGCCCAAGGAGGGUGUCAGGCCCGUGUGGCGGUAAAAGAACCCCGAAGGGGGGAAGGUACGGGACUGCGGAAAGGGCCUCUCCUUAGAGUCGGGUUGCCUGAAACCGCAACCUAAAGUAGGUGGUAAACUCCAUCUAAGGCUAAAUAUGACCACGAGACCGAUAGCGAACAAGUACCGUGAGGGAAAGUUGAAAUAGAACCCUGCAGAGAGAGUUCAAGAGAACGUGAAACCGUUAAGAGGCUAAACGGGUGGAGAUUCGAAGAUCGAACUGGGGGGAUUCAGUUCGCCCGGCAGUCAGGAGGGGGUUUUCGGGAGCACAACAGCGACCCCCCUAGCGGCUGCGACUCGUCGCAGUCUGCUAAAGGGGGCGCGGCCCGUCCCCUGCCUGCUCAUGUCGCCGGCGGAAGCGAUUUUCCCCCCGCAGUAGGUCGCCGCGAACCGUCGGGAGGGCGUCUGAGGCCCGGGCUUUGGCAGGAACCUACGUCGUCGCUGUCUGUCGCCAAAAGGCUGCUUGCUGUAAUGGUAGGCGUAUAGUCUUGACAGAGAGAAGCGGCGUCUGGGGAUCCCCCGGUGACCACUGGUGAUAUCAUUAUGAUUCAUCAGCCUUGUCUUGCUCUCCCGACGGUCCGUCCUUGGGGCAGUGUCGUCGCUACGGCGGCGGCUCUCGCCUUCGCGGUGUGCAAAGAGUCGAGGCUCUACCCGACCCGUCUUGAAACACGGACCAAGGAGUCCAACAUGUAUGCGAGUCAAUGGGCUCACUAAACCCACAGGCGGAAUGAAAGUGAAAAGUUGGUGUGGUAUUGGCUGCUCUCGUAGUAGCUACAUACAUACUUGCAUACAGGACCGAUCCCUCGGUUUUCCGGAAGACUUCAGCCUCUCCCUGGACGGAGUGACCAAAAUAUGCUUUCCUCCCUGGGGACUAACUCUAAAAGUCACUUGUGGCUUGUGAGGGCUGGGGUAAUACCCUUCCGGUGCCGCAAGCCUCUCCUCCGGUCCAACGGAGGAAGGGGGGCGCAGGUCCGGGACUCGCAAACAACGACGAACAGACUGUGGCGGCUUGCCGCUCCGAGCUGGAUGUGUCGGCGAGUACCUAGAGCAUAAAUGUUGGUACCCGAAAGAUAGUGAACUAUGCCUGGCCAGGAUGAAGCCAGGGGAAACCCUGGUGGAGGUCCGUAGCGAUUCUGACGUGCAAAUCGAUUGUCAGAGCUGGGUAUAGGGGCGAAAGACCAAUCGAACUAUCUAGUAGCUGGUUCCCUCCGAAGUUUCCCUCAGGAUAGCUGGUACUCGACAAUAACGAGUUUCAUCCGGUAAAGCGAAUGAUUAGGGGUGUUGGGGACGAAAUGUCCUCAGCCUAUUCUCAAACUUUAAAUGGGUGAGGUGCCGGGCUUGCUUUAUUUCGUCUAAUGAUGAUGAUGAUGAAGCCCCGGACACGAAUCGGAGUGCUUAGUGGGCCAAUUUUGGUAAGCAGAACUGGCGCUGUGGGAUGAACCAAACGUCGAGUUAAGGGGCCUAAAUGGAUGCUAAUUCCGAUACCAUGGAAGGGAGUUGCUUGCUAUAGACAGCAGGACGGUGGCCAUGGAAGUUGGAAUCCGCUAAGGAGUGUGUAACAACUCACCUGCCGAAGCAAGUAACCCUGAAAAUGGCAUGGCGCUCAAGCAUCCUCCCGAUACUCGACCGCCGGGCGCACUAUUGGCUGGAAUAACAAGGAAGUCUCGAGGCCCCGGCGAGUAGGAGGAGCGCGGUGGUGAGCGUUGAAGGAUUCGGCGUGAGCCGGUCUGGAGCCUCCACUGGUGCGGAUCUUGGUGGNAGUAGCACAUAUUCGAGCGAGAACACCCUCGUUGACCGAUGCGGAGAAGGGU
rnacentral:rRNA from 1 species